AUUGAACGCUGGCGGCAGGCCUAACACAUGCAAGUCGAGCGGAGCGGCGGACGGGUGAGUAAUGCCUCGGAAUCUGCCUGGUAGUGGGGGCUAACGUCCGGAAACGGGCGCUAAUACCGCAUACUAUCAGAUGAGCCUAGGUCGGUGAAGCUAGUUGGUGGGGUAAAGGCCUACUAAGGCGGAGAUCCGUAACUGGUCUGAGAGGAUGAUCAGUCACACUGGAACUGAGACACGGUCCAGACUACUACGGGAGGGAGCAGUGGGGAAUAGUUGACAAUGGGAGAAAGCCUGAUCCAGCCAUGCCGCGUGUAUGAAGAAGGCCGUCGGGUUGUAAAGUACUUUCAGCGGGGAGGCGUUACCCGCAGAAGAAGCACCGGCUAACUCCGUGCCAGCAGCCGCGGUAAUAC
rnacentral:rRNA from 1 species